AUUGAACGCUGGCGGCAUGCUUUACACAUGCAGGUCGAACGGUAACAGGCCUUCGGGCGCUGACGAGUGGCGAACGGGUGAGUAAUGCAUCGGAACGUGCCCAGUCGUGGGGGAUAACGCAGCGAAAGCUGUGCUAAUACCGCAUACGAUCUGCGGAUGAAAGCGGGGGACCUGCGGGCCUCGCGCGAUUGGAGCGGGCGAUGUCAGAUUAGGUAGUUGGUGGGGUAAAGGCUCACCAAGCCAACGAUCUGUAGCUGGUCUGAGAGGACGACCAGCCACACUGGGACUGAGACACGGCCCAGACUCCUACGGGAGGCAGCAGUGGGGAAUUUUGGACAAUGGGCGCGAGCCUGAUCCAGCAAUGCCGCGUGCAGGAAGAAGGCCUUCGGGUUGUAAACUGCUUUUGUACGGAGCGAAAAGGCUCCCUCUAAUACAGGGGGCUCAUGACGGUACUGUAAGAAUAAGCACCGGCUAACUACGUGCCAGCAGCCGCCGUAAAAC
rnacentral:rRNA from 1 species